AUUGAACGCUGGCGGCAUGCUUUACACAUGCAAGUCGAACGGCAGCGCGGGCUUCGGCCUGGCGGCGAGUGGCGAACGGGUGAGUAAUACAUCGGAACGUGCCCAGUAGUGGGGGAUAGCUCGGCGAAAGCCGGAUUAAUAACGCAUACGACCUGAGGGUGAAAGCGGGGGAUCUUCGGGCCUCGCGCUAUUGGAGCGGCCGAUGGCAGAUUAGCUAGGUGGUGGGGUAAAGGCCUACCAAGGCGACGAUCUGUAGCUGGUCUGAGAGGACGACCAGCCACACUGGGACUGAGACACGGCCCAGACGCCUGCGGGAGGCAGCAGUGGGGAAUUUUGGACAAUGGGCGAAAGCCUGAUCCAGCAAUGCCGCGUGUGUGAUGAAGGCCUUCGGGUUGUAAAGCACUUUUGGCGGGAACGAAAAGGACUGUGCCAAUACCACGGUUCGAUGACGGUACCCGCAGAAUAAGCACCGGCUAACUACGUG
rnacentral:rRNA from 1 species